rnacentral:RNase_P_RNA from 1 species
CAAGUUGAGCAGACAGUCGCUGCAAAUAACAGCGUUGGUUAUUAAGUAGUUAACCAUUUUUUGUUAUUUGGAGAGGAAAGUCCGGGCUCCAAAGGGUAGGAUGCCAGGUAACGCCUGGGGGGCGCGAGCCUACGGAAAGUGCAGCAGAGAGAAGACCGCCUAAGCCUGAUAAACCAGGCCGGCAAGGGUGAAAGGGUACGGUAAGAGCGUACCGCGCAGCUGGUAACAGCUUGUGGCAAGGUAAACCCCAUCCGGAGCAAGGCCAAAUAGAGAUUCUUUAGUGUGACCCGCACUGAAUCCGGGUAGGCUGCUUGAGGUGUGUGGUGACACACAUCCUAGAUGAAUGACUGUCAGGUUUAAACAUAAACUUUACAGAACCCGGCUUAUGAUUAACUUGCAAU